GCGCCGUGCCCUUCUUGGGCGAUUCCUCCCUGACUCCGGCCGCCCUGCGAGGGGCGGCUUUCUUUUUCGGCGGC
rnacentral:sRNA from 1 species